rnacentral:misc_RNA from 1 species
CUGCGGAAGGAUCAUUACUAUAUGCCUUGGCGUUCCUACGCCGGCAACACCCUUGUCUAUGUGUACCGUACGUUGUUCCCUCGGCAGGGCCCUCCCUGCCGCUGGGUCUCCACCAAAAAACUCUUUGCAGCAAAAGCAGUAUACCUGUCUGAUUGUGGGCAUCAAAACUAUUACAACUUUCAACAACGGAUCUCUUGGUUCUGGCAUCGAUGAAGAACGCAGC